rnacentral:rRNA from 1 species
GUAGGGAAUCUUGCGCAAUGGGCGAAAGCCUGACGCAGCCAUGCCGCGUGAAUGAUGAAGGUCUUAGGAUUGUAAAAUUCUUUCACCGGGGACGAUAAUGACGGUACCGGGAGAAGAAGCUCCGGCUAACUUCGUGCCAGCAGCCGCGGUAAUACGAAGGGGGCUAGCGUUGCUCGGAAUUACUGGGCGUAAAGGGCGCGUAGGCGGACAGCUUAGUCAGAGGUGAAAGCCCAGGGCUCAACCUUGGAAUUGCCUUUGAUACUGGCUGUCUUGAGUUUUGGAGAGGUGAGUGGAACUCCGAGUGUAGAGGUGAAAUUCGUAGAUAUUCGGAAGAACACCAGUGGCGAAGGCGACUCACUGGCCCAAUACUGACGCUGAGGCGCGAAAGCGUGGGGAGCAAACAGGAUUAGAAACCCCAGUAGUCC